rnacentral:pre_miRNA from 1 species
UAGCCAUUCUGGAAUCAUAUUGUUUGUAUAACUAUUUGAAUAAUAUGUCUCAGAAUGUUGU